AGGUGUCUGCAUUUAGCCUCCUGCCUCAGCUUCUGGAGGAUCAAAGAGCGGGGCUUGCUUCCAGUGUGGCUGAAAGGCUUUCAUGGGUAUGUUUGCUACAAAGUACAUUUUAAUUGAUUUGAAAUAUGUAUAAACUUCCAAAGGAAUAAAAGUACAAGAGCAUCUAUGCCCAGAUCCAAGAACCUAGAAGGGAAGAAAGGAGAAUUUUUCUGCCCCUGAAGAUGAUAACCAUGAAGGGACAAACUUCACUAGUUGGAUACUGCUCACUUCAUGGCUGCUGGCAGCUGAGAGAUUCUAUGACCACUGACAAAAGCUAGCAGAAGGCAUACCUUGGAAAGCCCACCUGAAAGACCUGCAUCCUUAAAUGAAACACAACUCUUUAAAAUGACCUAUCCUCAGGUCUGAGAGACUGGCUCACUGAGUCUAUUUAUUGUAGCAAUCCCUGCACCCAGUGUGGAAUUUGAACUCAUGACCUCGAGAUCAAGAGUCGCAUGCUCUACUGACUGAGCCGGCUAGGCACCCUGAAAAAUAUGGAAAGAAUAUCACUGGGAAAAAUAGAUGUUCAAUGCCAACACUAAGGAAAAAUUCAAAUAGAAGACAAACUACUCGUCAUAUAGUGCAAAAUAAGGGAUAAAAAAAAUCAGGGUAAAAGACUGCCUUUGGGACAUACCUAUUAUAAAUAAAAGACUUAAACAUUCUAAUAUUAAACAAUUUUAUUCAUAUGGGUCUUCUCUAAAGGCCCUGCCACACAAUGCCCAGAGAUGUAAGUGCAAAUGUGUUCACUUCAUACUGCAAGUAAUGGUUUAAAAAAAAAAAAAAAAAAAAAAGGAGUGACCAGAAACACUAACAUCUAACUGCUCAUUUGGGGAAAUGGAUAAAUAAAUUGAGUUAUUCAAAAAAUGGAAUACUUUACAAAACAUUAGAAUGAUAUACUAGGUCUCCAUGAAAUAGGGAAGCCGAAAGGACUCCAGUUGAGAAAAUCUUUAUUUCUGCUGUUUUUCUGCAAGGUCCCAUUUCUGGAUAAGCCAAAAAACUAUAUUCCCACCUCAAGGGGAAAACAAGAAAAUUAAUCAUUCUCUGAGUUUUGUCCUACGCCCCAAACACCUGAUAACAUUUAAGAAGAGCCAGAUCCCAAACAUGUUCCAGAAUGUCAGUUCUGAACAAUCCUCUGCUGACGCUGGCAUCAACCCUCCUUACCUUCAGUGAUUUAUGCAAUAAUACCUAUUGUUCACCUGACACUCACCUUUGAUAGAUUACCCUAGAUUCCUACUCUAGAUUCCUGGAGGCACAUGGACCCUAGACCCCUUUCCAGGAUAAAUUCCUAACCCCACGUGACAGGGAAACUCACUCUCCUUUCCUUUGAGUCUCCCAGACACUCCGUCUGCAUUUU